CUCGAAUGUGGAAUCUAAAAACAGAAACAAUUCCUAUCAUAGUAGGUGCCUUAGGUAUAAUAAAAAAAUAUUCAGACAAAUACAUAACAAAAACACCAGGACUUACAAAUAUAUAUAACAUACAGAAAAUUGCACUACUGGGUACUGCACACAUUCUACGCAAAACACUUUCAAUACAGUAAACAUAAGAGCACCACAGCAAACCACAGCACAUACCCAAGGCGCACAGAGCUGCGCUCGGUAGUGAAGUGAAAGCACGUUAUAAAAUUAAAACUACUGAAUAAUAAUAAUAAUAAUAAUUCGCUUAUUGGCCACCUGGGCUCACAUAAAAUUACAUUAAAAGACAUACAACACAAAAGACAAAAACAGGACGAUACAAUGGGUAUUACAACGUGUAAACAAUAUAAUAAUCAAAAUUAAACAAUUUAAAACUCCCAAUAGGGGAGGCGCUUUAAUGCCCUCGGGGAAAACCCACAAAAGCCACGGGUGCCUGAACAACAGAGCAAGAGCCCUUUUGUUUACAGGUGCAAGCUCAGAAUUGAUCUUGUCACACUGGCCAUUCUUCCAAUAUUCACCAACUUUUCAACAAACUUGCUACAAGGCAACAUUGCCCUCUCCACCCUCAACUUCCUUUUCAAGUGAAACGUGAAAAAGUUGAUGAGGGCUUGGCCAAAGAGGAAAGUGUCUGUCUUUAGCCCUUUCAAACGGGUUCACCAUACUACCUCUUUCGCUACAGCCACUAGACAAAUAAAAAUUGCCUUCCUCUACCGGCCAAAAUAACGUGGCGGGGCAAUCUUCACAAUGGAUCCAGCUGAUAGUCGGAUCCGUCCAAUACAUGACAGCAGGUGGUCGGAUCCGUCCAACACACGACAGCAGGUGUUCCACAUAAACCCACAGGUCAGCAAUACUCGGGUACGGAACUAGGGUGUGCAGAAGUUUCAUCGUUCUGUGUGCACCUCGGGCAGACCCGGCUAACGGCACUUCCGUGCCUAUAAAGUUUAUCCCGAACAGGCAGCACUCCUCGGUAGCGCUUUUAGGCAAGGGAUUUCUGGAAGUUAUCCAUAGGCCCAGGCCUGAAAGUUCUCCGAAACAGACCGGUUAGUUGUUCUUCACUGACGCCUAGCGUUUCCCUGAGAACGUCGUCGCACUUUCCUCUACUAGCUCCCUAUAGAACGCUAGAGUAGAACUAUUACCAACCGCAUUGCUCGCCUGGUGGAGAGCUGUGAGGACUUGACGGCACUCGAGGUGCCAAGCGCUCCUCCUCGAUCUACGCCUAAGCCAGGAUUGCAGCUCAGUCAAAGAGACCAGCUGUGGAAAAGCGUGUUCACACAUGCUCACUGUCAAGGAAACGCUGGAGAUGCCGCAACCACACAGACACCACAAUGGAAGAAUUUUUCUUUCCGACACACAAUGCACAACCACUACACAUACAGAUUUUUAAAAUGAAUCAAGAAACAUAAUAAAUAAUAAUAAUAAUAAAUUUUCCAAAUGCUGUUGGGUCUUUCCAAAAGACUUUCCCCAAAUGACUCGAUAAAAACCUCGUGGAAAUGCCCACAACAAAGUCCAGGGGAACAGCACUUCCAGACAACAAUGAUGGAGAAUGCUUUCCGUAGUAUAUGGGCAUCAAAGUUAUUUUUUGUUGUUCAAGGAGAUUGGAGUUACCAGGGAGUUGCUUCAUAUACUUCUCACAUCCCAAGGCAAAAAAAAGAAAAAAAUUAAAAUUGUAAAAAUACUGACUGAAUUUAGAAAAGACAUGGAAAAAAAAACACAUUUACAUAAAUGGACACAAUUGAAGAAAAUACUAGAGAUCUGUACCUUGACAGACAUAAGCCAACAUUUUAACACUAACUUUACAAGUGUGGUCAGCCAAAAGGAUUCGAUGGACAUUGGGUCUUGGAAAAAAAAACAUGGGUGUGACUUGAUACGAGGGACAGUGCUUCCUAGCUAGAGUAAUACAAUCAGAAAGAAUUCGUAAGGAAGGCAAUAUACAUCUGUGUUACCCAAAUCAUUAACACUAUGUGAAAAUUCGCUUACUUUUCUCCUUUUAAAUUGCCAGUGUUUGUAGCCUUCAAGGCAACUUAUUAAAUUGUAAGCAAAUAUAUGUCUAGACACAGACUCGUUUGCAUAACAGUUGACGACCUGACAUUAAUUAUUAAAAGCAUGAAGCUAAAUACCAAUUUUUCGGUUGAUAUGGUAUGCUUUGAUGAAUAUUUAUAAUUUUGUAUUCAAAUUAUAAAAGCUUUACACAAACAUAUAUAAUGUCAACGUGGAAACGAUGAAAUGCCAGAGGACUAAAAUUAAUAAAAAAAAGUAUAAUUAAAAUA